rnacentral:rRNA from 1 species
UACGUAGGGGGCAAGCGUUGUCCGGAAUCAUUGGGCGUAAAGGGUGCGUAGGCGGCGCGGUAAGUCGGGUGUGAAAUCUCGGGGCUUAACUCCGAAACUGCAUUCGAUACUGCCGUGCUUGAGGACUGGAGAGGAGACUGGAAUUUACGGUGUAGCGGUGAAAUGCGUAGAUAUCGUAAGGAAGACCAGUGGCGAAGGCGGGGUCUCUGGACAGUUCCUGACGCUGAGGCACGAAGGUCAGGGGGAGCAAAACGGG